UCUAGAACCUUUUCAUACAAAAUAGAUUGUCAUCUGCCCUCACCAUGUUAAUCAUCAUAAUAACCCAUCCAAACAUAUUGGGUUCUUGAUUUGGUUAAAUUAAUUUUCAUCUUGACCUUGGCCAUACUCCCCCUCGUUUUUUUGUAAGAUACCAAGUUAAGAAAUAAUACCUUCCCUAUAGGAGAAAGUAGAAGUGUCAC
rnacentral:lncRNA from 1 species